AAUCUGCAGAGACAGAAAGUACAUUAGUGUUUGCCUAGGACUGAGGGAAAUGGGGAAUGACUGCUAAUGGGUAUGUGUUUUUUUCUAGGGUGAUGACAUGUUCUAAAAUUGAUUGUGGUGAUAGCAUGAUGCUGUGAAUAUACUAAAAAACCAUCAAAUUAUUCACUUUAAGUAGCCCAGCAUAGUCUUGGCUCUUCCUUUUCAACCUGAGAAGAUUCUUCAAGAUUGAGCUUAAAUGAAGGCAGGAGAGAGUAGUGGUUAAAAGCCUGUGUUUGAACUCAAGCUCUGCACAGUGUCCUUAGAGCACAGGCUCCAGGCGCACAGGCUCAGCGGCCAUGGCUCACGGGCCC